GACGAACGCUGGCGGCGUGCCUAACACAUGCAAGUCGAACGGGAAGGCCCGGUCUGGUGGGGACCCGGUGGGCAAACCGGGGGAACAUACGUUGGGGAUCUGCCCUACACCCCGGGAUAAGCUUUGAUAACUGGGACUGAUUCCGGAUAAAAACCAUCUCUAGUUUGGUUGUUGGCGAGUUUUUUCGGUGUAGUAUUAGGUUGCGGGCCUUCAGAUUGUUGGUGGGGUAAUGGGCUACCAAGGCGGCGAAGGGUAGCCGGCCUGGGAGGGUGUACGGCCACAUUGGGACUGAGAUACGGCCCAGACUCCUACGGGAGGCAGCAGGGGGGAAUAUUGCACAAUGGGCGCAAGGCUGAUGCAGCGACGCCGCGUGGGGGAUGAAGGCCUUCGGGUUGUAAACUCCUUUCGCUAGGGACGAAGCUUUGUUGUGACGGUACCUAGAUAAGAAGCACCGGCUAACUACGUG
rnacentral:rRNA from 1 species